rnacentral:rRNA from 1 species
AGUGGCGAACGGGUGAGUAAUAUAUCGGAACGUACCCUAGAGUGGGGGAUAACGUAGCGAAAGUUACGCUAAUACCGCAUACGAUCUAAGGAUGAAAGUGGGGGAUCGCAAGACCUCAUGCUCGUGGAGCGGCCGAUAUCUGAUUAGCUAGUUGGUAGGGUAAAAGCCUACCAAGGCAUCGAUCAGUAGCUGGUCUGAGAGGACGACCAGCCACACUGGAACUGAGACACGGUCCAGACUCCUACGGGAGGCAGCAGUGGGGAAUUUUGGACAACGGGCGAAAGCCUGAUCCAGCAAUGCCGCGUGAGUGAAGAAGGCCUUCGGGUUGUAAAGCUCUUUUGUCAGGGAAGAAACGGUGAGAGCUAAUAUCUCUUGCUAAUGACGGUACCUGAAGAAUAAGCACCGGCUAACUACGUGCCAGCAGCCGCGGUAAUACGUAGGGUGCAAGCGUUAAUCGGAAUUACUGGGCGUAAAGCGUGCGCAGGCGGUUUUGUAAGUCUGAUGUGAAAUCCCCGGGCUCAACCUGGGAAUUGCAUUGGAGACUGCAAGGCUAGAAUCUGGCAGAGGGGGGUAGAAUUCCACGUGUAGCAGUGAAAUGCGUAGAUAUGUGGAGGAACACCGAUGGCGAAGGCAGCCCCCUGGGUCAAGAUUGACGCUCAUGCACGAAAGCGUGGGGAGCAAACAGGAUUAGAUACCCUGGUAGUCCACGCCCUAAACGAUGUCUACUAGUUGU